rnacentral:rRNA from 1 species
UGAGGAAUAUUGGUCAAUGGACGAGAGUCUGAACCAGCCAAGUAGCGUGCAGGAUGACGGCCCUAUGGGUUGUAAACUGCUUUUGUUUGGGAAUAAUCGACAUUACGUGUAAUGUUUUGCAUGUACCAUUCGAAUAAGGACCGGCUAAUUCCGUGCCAGCAGCCGCGGUAAUACGGAAGGUCCAGGCGUUAUCCGGAUUUAUUGGGUUUAAAGGGAGCGUAGGCGGUUUGUUAAGUGGGUUGUGAAAUGUAGAUGCUCAACAUUUGACUUGCAGCGCGUACUGGCUGUCUUGAGUACACACAACGUAGGCGGAAUUCUUGGUGUAGCGGUGAAAUGCUUAGUUAUCAUGAAGAACUCCGAUUACGAAGGCAGCUUACGGUGGUGUUACUGACGCUAAAGCUCGAAGGUGCGGGUAUCUAACAGG